rnacentral:sRNA from 1 species
UCGGGGGUGCAGGGCGGGACCCCCGACGGGGGGUGCGCCCCCAAGUUAGCGCCGUGGGCCGAGCCGGAGGAGCCCCGCUGCCCCCAAGGGCCUGGCCCGGGGCGCGGACCAGGAAGUCGCGCGGUUCCUGGCGCUCGUGGAAAGUGGAGGCCGCCCUCCCGGCGCAGUCAACAGAGAAGGUGUUCGCCAGCCUCCCGCAGGUGGAGAGGGGCGUCUCCAAGAUCAUCGGCGGCGACCCUAAGGGCAACAAUUUUCUGUACACCAAUGGAAAGUGCGUCAUCCUAAGGAACAUCGACAACCCAGCCCUUGCUGACAUCUACACAGAGCACGCCCAUCAGGUGGUGGUGGCCAAGUAUGCGCCCAGCGGAUUCUACAUUGCCUCCGGAGAUGUGUCUGGGAAGCUGAGGAUCUGGGAUACCACGCAGAAGGAGCACCUGUUGAAGUAUGAGUACCAGCCUUUCGCUGGGAAGAUCAAAGACAUUGCUUGGACUGAAGACAGUAAGAGGAUCGCCGUGGUCGGGGAAGGAAGGGAGAAGUUUGGAGCAGUCUUCCUGUGGGAUAGUGGCUCUUCUGUGGGCGAGAUUACAGGACACAACAAAGUCAUCAACAGCGUGGACAUCAAGCAGAGCCGGCCAUACCGGCUGGCCACGGGAAGCGAUGAUAACUGCGCGGCAUUCUUUGAGGGACCCCCAUUCAAGUUCAAAUUCACAAUUGG